UACGGGGGGGGGCAAGCGUUGUUCGGAAUUACUGGGCGUAAAGGGCUCGUAGGUGGCCAACUAAGUCAGACGUGAAAUCCCUCAGCUUAACUGGGGAACUGCGUCUGAUACUGGAUGGCUUGAGUUUGGGAGAGGGAUGCGGAAUUCCCGGUGUAGCGGUGAAAUGCGUAGAGAUCGGGAGGAACACCAGUGGCGAAGGCGGCUACCUGGACCAGCACUGACACUGAGGCACGAAAGCGUGGGGAGCAAACAGG
rnacentral:rRNA from 1 species